CCCACCCCAGCCCUGCCUCCAGAUGGUAUACACCCAGAGGCCCUGUGCCCUCCCUGCUGUCUGAUCCCUCCCCACUCCAGGAAAUGCCUUUUUUCUUCCAGCUGAACCAGAACACAAAGCCAUCCUGGCGCUGCUGGGUCCCAGGAAGGCACUGCUGUUAGUUGAUGUGUGUGAGGGUCGCUGUCCCUCCAAACCACUGAGUGUGUUGCCUACAAAGUGGCAGUGCUGCCCGGGUUCCUUGUCUUCCACUCCUCCCCCUGCAGGCUCUGCUCAGUAAAGCUCCCUCAACUCCCUGCCAGGGCUCUGCAGCGAGGCCCAGGCUGCUUCCUUAGCAGCUACUGCUUUUCCACAGCACCAUGGUUGCUGUCCACAUACAGCCUUAGAGACAAGGGCAGCCCCAAACCUGUGCCCUGAGGUGAACUGAGUGAUCAAGAGAACCCAGGACCUAAUAUGGAAAGUAGGCAAAGCCUAAGGAUCAUUGCGGUGGAGGACCAUGAGGCUCGAGGCAUGGAGAGAUUUAACAGAGCAGGGUGACAAGCUGUGCGCGCACCCACAGCGGCCAGGCUGGCCGGGCCUGCUGUACUGACGAUGGCUCCAGCUGGUGCCCCACUCUGUCCUACAUCUGAGGUAGGGGCAGCUUUCGAGUAUGGCAGAUCCAUCCCUCUAAAGGCCUCCAUGGCACCUGGGAGAAGUCCCUGCCAGGCAAAGCCCUCUAAGAGGGGGUUUCCA
rnacentral:lncRNA from 1 species